rnacentral:lncRNA from 1 species
GGUCCAACCAUUAACAUGACUACACCAAGGGCAUCCAACAAACAAAUAUCCAGGCCUGAAGGUCGCUCGGCCAAUCUGAGCAUUGAUCUGAGGGGCACAACAAGAUGGUCAUAUGAUGAAUGACAAUUUCAAUACCCAAUAGACAUCAGAUAUGUGGUGCCUCCUAUGCCUAUUUAGAAUAUUGGACUCAUUAUUACGCACCUUAAUGGGAGGCUAUGAACAAGUGUAUUUCCAUAACUAUA